ACUACGGGUGGCAGCAGUGGGGGAUAUUGCACAAUGGGGGGAACCCUGAUGCAGCGACGCCGCGUGGGUGAAGAAGCGCCUCGGCGCGUAAAGCCCUGUCAGCAGGGAAGAAAAUGACGGUACCUGAAGAAGAAGCCCCGGCUAACUACGUGCCAGCAGCCGCGGUAAUACGUAGGGGGCAAGCGUUAUCCGGAUUUACUGGGUGUAAAGGGGGCGUAGACGGCGGUGCAAGCCAGGAGUGAAAGCCCGGGGCCCAACCCCGGGACUGCUCUUGGAACUGCGUGGCUGGAGUGCAGGAGGGGCAGGCGGAAUUCCUGGUGUAGCGGUGAAAUGCGUAGAUAUCAGGAGGAACACCGGUGGCGAAGGCGGCCUGCUGGACUGCAACUGACGUUGAGGCCCGAAAGCGUGGGGAGCAAACAGGAUUAGAUACCCGUGUAGUC
rnacentral:rRNA from 1 species